UACGAAGGGGGCUAGCGUUGUUCGGAUUUACUGGGCGUAAAGCGCACGUAGGCGGAUCGUUAAGUCGGGGGUGAAAUCCUGGAGCUCAACUCCCAGGAACUGCCUUCGAUACUGGCGAUCUUGAGUCCGGAAGAGGGUGAGUGGAACUCCUAGUGUAGAGGUGGAAUUCGUAGAUAUUAGGAAGAACACCAGUGGCGAAGGCGGCUCACUGGUCCGGUACUGACGCUGAGGUGCCGAAAGCGUGGGGAGCAAACAGG
rnacentral:rRNA from 1 species